CACGCGCUGCCUCUCUCGUUGAGAAACCACUGCGGGUUCGCGGAGUGGCGCGCGCCGCAAUGGAACGCUGGCCCAGAGGCCCCUGUAGGGCGCUGUCCGGCACGCUGAACAGGCCCGCCCGGCUCGCUUCCGGUUGUUGCCAGUUUUGAGCGGAAGAGGGGACAAGCAGCUGCAAAGGGACAGAAUAUGCCACUUCAUGCUUUUCACAUGGCAGAAGGAAGCAUUCAUCACCACAAAUUCUGUGUUCUCAGCGGAGGGCAAGUGCGGAGGUAAAGCAACAUCCAGCCUUCUCCUUGCCCACAGACCUGUGAAAUAAAUGGUUUCCCUCCA